GUGGUGAUAAGGUGACAAAAGGAGUAACCCACGGGCAUUCGAUUGCUCACUGGUUAUGCUCCUGGGAAGGUCUGAGAUUAGGUCCCGGCCAAGUUUGGUUGGUCGUAUCCUCUAGCAGGGGAACGAUGUAAACCGUCGUAGUGCCGUACCAGAAACCCCCUCGGUACCAAUCACCCUGAAGUACAAGACGGUUUACCUCAGUGUUUGGAGGGAAGCCUGAUACGAUUGUGGUGAUGGUAUUGAGUUUGAACCACGGUGCUGGUGCUAGCUGCGCUGAGUGCGAUUGUCUCCGCAUAUGUGUGAACUCAAUUCAGACUACUCUCUCGCCAC
rnacentral:RNase_P_RNA from 1 species